rnacentral:rRNA from 1 species
GACGAACGCUGGCGGCGUGCUUAACACAUGCAAGUCGAACGGAAAGGCCAGUGCUUGCCCUGGUACUCGAGUGGCGAACGGGUGAGUAACACGUGGGUGAUAUGCCUUUCACUCUGGGAUAAGCUUGGGAAACUGGGGCUAAUACCGGAUAUGAACUGCCUAUAGUGUGGGUGUUGGAAAGUUUUUUCGGUGCAAGAUGAGUUCGCGGCCUAUCCGCUUGUUGGUGGGUUAAUGGCCUACCAAGGCGUCGACGGGUAGCCGGCCUGAGAGGGUGUACGGCGACAUGGGGACUGAGAUACGGCGCAGACUCCUACGGGAGGCAGCAGUGGGGAAUAUUGCACAAUGGGCGGAAGCCUGAUGCAGCGACGCCGCGUGAGGGAUGACGGCCUUCGGGUUGUAAACUCCUUUCGACAGGGACGAAGCGUAAGUGACGGUACCUGUAUAAGAAGCACCGGCUAACUACGUG